CCAGCAGCCGCGGUAAUUCCAGCUCCAAUAGCGUAUAUUAAAGUUGUUGCAGUUAAAAAGCUCGUAGUUGGAUUUCUGGUUUGGGCGUCCGGUCCGCCUCCUCUGGAGGUGCGUACUAAGGAUGUUCGAGCCAUUUUUUGUGAGGAUGUUCUUCUGCCAUUAAGUUGGUGGUUGAAUAGACUUGCAUCGUUUACUGUGAAAAAAUUAGAGUGUUUAAAGCAGGCGUUUGCUCAUUGAAUACAUUAGCAUGGAAUAAUAAGAUACGACCUUGGUGGUCUAUUUUGUUGGUUUGCACACCAGGGUAAUGAUUAAUAGGGACAGUUGGGGGUAUUCAUAUUUCAGCGUCAGAGGUGAAAUUCUUGGAUCGCUGAA
rnacentral:rRNA from 1 species